rnacentral:rRNA from 1 species
UACACAUGCAAGUCGAACGAUGAUCUCCCGCUUGCGGGGGUGAUUAGUGGCGAACGGGUGAGUAAUACGUGAGUAACCUGCCCUUGACUCUGGGAUAAGCCUGGGAAACCGGGUCUAAUACUGGAUACGACCCCCUGUCGCAUGGUGGGGGGUGGAAAGGGUUUGACUGGUUUUGGAUGGGCUCACGGCCUAUCAGCUUGUUGGUGGGGUAAUGGCUCACCAAGGCGACGACGGGUAGCCGGCCUGAGAGGGUGACCGGCCACACUGGGACUGAGACACGGCCCAGACUCCUACGGGAGGCAGCAGUGGGGAAUAUUGCACAAUGGGCGGAAGCCUGAUGCAGCGACGCCGCGUGAGGGAUGACGGCCUUCGGGUUGUAAACCUCUUUCAGCAGGGAAGAAGCCACAAGUGACGGUACCUGCAGAAGAAGCGCCGGCUAACUACGUGCCAGCAGCCGCGGUAAUACGUAGGGCGCAAGCGUUGUCCGGAAUUAUUGGGCGUAAAGAGCUCGUAGGCGGUUUGUCGCGUCUGCUGUGAAAGCCCGGGGCUCAACCCCGGGUCUGCAGUGGGUACGGGCAGACUAGAGUGCAGUAGGGGAGACUGGAAUUCCUGGUGUAGCGGUGAAAUGCGCAGAUAUCAGGAGGAACACCGAUGGCGAAGGCAGGUCUCUGGGCUGUUACUGACGCUGAGGAGCGAAAGCAUGGGGAGCGAACAGGAUUAGAUACCCUGGUAGUCCAUGCCGUAAACGUUGGGCACUAGGUGUGGGGGACAUUCCACGUUCUCCGCGCCGUAGCUAACGCAUUAAGUGCCCCGCCUGGGGAGUACGGCCGCAAGGCUAAAACUCAAAGGAAUUGACGGGGGCCCGCACAAGCGGCGGAGCAUGCGGAUUAAUUCGAUGCAACGCGAAGAACCUUACCAAGGCUUG